AACGAACGCUGGCAGCGUGGAUUAGGCAUGCAAGUCGGACGGGAUCGUCUGGAUAGCAAUAUUCGGGCGUGAGAGUGGCGGAUUGGGAGGAGCACGUGAGCAACCUGCCCUGGAGAUGUGGAAAAACCUCUGGAAACGGAGGCUAAUACAGAAUGUGGCGCCCCGUGGCAUCACGGGAGCGCCGAAGGGGGCCGCAAGGCUCCCGCUCCGGGAUGGGCUCGCGCACCAUCAGCUAGUUGGCGGGUAACGGCCCACCAAGGCCUACGGUUAGCUGGUCUGAGAGGAUGACCAGCCCCACUGGGACUGAGAUACUGCCCAGACUCCUACGGGAGGCUGCAGUCGAGGAUCAUUCGCAAUGGGCGAAAGCCUGACGAUGCGACGCUGCGUGGAAGGAUGAAGGCCUUCGGGUCGUAAACUCCUGUCAUGGGGGAAGAGGCGAGGGAAGCGAACACCUUCCUUAGUUGACUGUACCCCAAGAGGAAGCGACGGCUAACUCUGUGCCAGCCGCCGC
rnacentral:rRNA from 1 species